UGAAUACGAGACGCUAAGGCGUCGAAGUAGUGUAUGUCAUACUUCCAAGAAAAGCUUGCACUGUCAUAGAUAAAAAACGCCUGUACCAUAACCGACACAGGUGGGUAGGUAGAGUAUACUAAGGGCCGCGAGAUAACUCUCUCUAAGGAACUCGGCAAAAUAACUCCGUAACUUCGGGAGAAGGAGUGCCUUAUUAUUAAGGCUGCAAUAACAAGAUCCAAGCAACUGUUUAUCAAAAACACAGGUCUCCGCUAAGUCGUAAGACGAUGUAUGGGGGCUGACGCCUGCCCAGUGCCAGAAGGUUAAAGAAGUUGGUUAGCAUUUGCGAAGCUGGUAACUGAAGCCCUGGUGAACGGCGGCCGUAACUACAACGGUCCUAAGGUAGCGAAAUUCCUUGUCGGGUAAGUUCCGACCCGCACGAAAGGCGUAAUGAUUUGGAUACUGUCUCGGAGAGGGGCUCGGUGAAAUAGACUUGUCUGUGAAGAUGCGGACUACCUGCACCGGGACAGAAAGACCCUAUGAAGCUUUACUGUAACUUGAAAUUGAAAUUGGACUUUAUUCGCGCAGCAUAGGUGGGAGGCGUUGAUUAUAAUCUUGUGGGAUUAUUGGAGCCAUCAGUGAGAUACCACUCUUGUAAUGUUAGAUUUCUAACUUUGAAUCAUUAUCUGGUCAAAGAACAGUUUCAGGCGGGCAGUUUGACUGGGGCGGUCGCCUCCUAAACGGUAACGGAGGCGUACAAAGGUUUCCUCUGAACGGUUAGAAAUCGUAUCUAGAGUGUAAAGGCAUAAGGAAGCUUGACUGUGAGACCUACAAGUCGAGCAGGGACGAAAGUCGGUCUUAGUGAUCUGACGGUACUGAGUGGAAAGGCCGUCACUCAACGGAUAAAAGUUACUCUAGGAUAACAGGCUGAUCUCCCCCAAGAGUUCACAUCGACGGGGAGGUUUGGCACCUCGAUGUCGGCUCAUCGCAUCCUGGGGCGGUAGUACGUCCCAAGGGUUGGGCUGUUCGCCCAUGAAAGCGGUACGCGAGCUGGGUUCAGAACGUCGUGAGACAGUUCGGUCCAUAUCCGGUGUAGGCGUUAGAAUAUUGAGAGGAGCCUUCUUUAGUACGAGAGGACCGAGAAGGACAUACCUCUGGUGUACCAGUUAUCGUGCCAACGGUAAACGCUGGGUAGCUAUGUAUGGAGUGGAUAACCGCUGAAAGCAUCUAAGUGGGAAGCCCACCUCAAGAUAAGUAUUCU
rnacentral:rRNA from 1 species